GCUAGCCUCUCAAGCAGCUAGGACUACAGGAUUCGCAUUUUGGUAACCAUGGGAGGAUUCUGAGUGGAGUUGCCCCCGACCUUUGACAAAUCUCCUAUCUGUGCUUGGUACCAGCAUGAGCUAACUCUAUGGCUCAAACUAAUAGGACAAUUUGCUGAGGUCUGAAAAUACCCUCUACAGAGAAUGCCUGAUCUCCCCAAAUUUGGUGGAGAUCUAAAGUUUAUUUUGCUGUACAACUCUUCUUUUUGUUUUUUGUAGUUUUACUUGCUUCCAACAGGAAGGCAAGUUUUCCUCCUUCCAUGACGAUGAAAGGCAGGUAACUCCUUUAUGGAAUUUGAGCUGGCUUCCAACAGGGAAGAUGAGGUUUUUUUUCCUGCCUCUAGAAUAGUAGAGAGCAGUCUACAGCCUGAGACCCAUCACUAGGACACAAUUGAAGAAACUGGUAGUUUUACCAAGGCUUUGACUGGAAUGGUGCACUUUCCUAUAAGGAAUCAAACUUGACUUAAGAAGCCAAUAAAGCCCUUGGAAAAACUGGCCUCAUAUUUUGUGUACACAGUCCGUGUACAGGGUUUCUGGCCUGUGUAAAGAAGACAAGACAUAUAAGAAGGCAGGAAUGUCAGGCCUCUGAGCCCAGGCCAGGCC
rnacentral:lncRNA from 1 species